GAGUUUGAUCAUGGCUCAGAGCGAACGCUGGCGGCAUGCUUAACACAUGCAAGUCGCACGGUCAGCAAUGGCAGUGGCGGACGGGUGAGUAACACGUAGGAAUCUAUCUCUGGGUGGGGGACAACAGUGGGAAACUACUGCUAAUACCGCAUGAUACCUGAGGGUCAAAGGCGUAAGUCGCCUGGAGAGGAGCCUGCGUCUGAUUAGCUUGUUGGUGGGGUAAAGGCCUACCAAGGCUACGAUCAGUAGCUGGUCUGAGAGGAUGAUCAGCCACAUUGGGACUGAGACACGGCCCAAACUCCUACGGGAGGCAGCAGUGGGGAAUAUUGGACAAUGGGCGAAAGCCUGAUCCAGCAAUGCCGCGUGUGUGAAGAAGGUCUUCGGAUUGUAAAGCACUUUUGGCAGGGACGAUGAUGACGGUACCUGCAGAAUAAGCCCCGGCUAACUACGUGCCAGCAGCCGCCGU
rnacentral:rRNA from 1 species